ACGGAAGGCAGCAGUGGGGAAUAUUGCACAAUGGGGGAAACCCUGAUGCAGCAACGCCGCGUGAGUGAUGACGGUCUUCGGAUUGUAAAGCUCUGUCUUUAGGGACGAUAAUGACGGUACCUAAGGAGGAAGCCACGGCUAACUACGUGCCAGCAGCCGCGGUAGUACGUAGGUGGCAAGCGUUGUCCGGACUUACUGGGCGUAAAGGGAGCGUAGGUGGAUAUUUAAGUGGGAUGUGAAAUACCCGGGCUUAACCUGGGUGCUGCAUUCCAAACUGGAUAUCUAGAGUGCAGGAGAGGAAAGGAGAAUUCCUAGUGUAGCGGUGAAAUGCGUAGAGAUUAGGAAGAAUACCAGUGGCGAAGGCGCCUUUCUGGACUGUAACUGACACUGAGGCUCGAAAGCGUGGGGAGCAAACAGGAUUAGAUACCCUGGUA
rnacentral:rRNA from 1 species